GUUCGGUGGAAACGAGAAUAAAGCGUGAAGGAUAACGUUGCGUCAGCAACGGCCCGUAGGGCGAGGCAAAGCCGAGUCAUCCUGCACGACCCACCA
rnacentral:sRNA from 2 species